rnacentral:lncRNA from 1 species
AGGGCAGCAACUCAAACGAAAAAAUAGGGCAGCCUGCUGAGUGCUGAACCCACCUUGCGCCGCCAGGCCCGCCACCACCUGCCGCUCGCGCCACCGCCGUCGGCCGUCGCUCCACCGCCGUCGCACCACCGGUUCCCACGGUCACCACAGGGCAGCCUGCUCAAGAGUAGUCUUUGUGAAUUUUUUCGCCGAUUCCACCUUCCAUUUUUUCUGCUGAUUCCACCUUGCGAAUUGUGGAGUCGCCGAGUCGGUGGGCUUAUGUAUGAAUUGUGGAGUGGAGUCGGUGGGUUAAUUGUGAAUUGUGGAGUCAGUGGAGUGGUAGAUUUUAUUUGUGAAUUGUGGAGUCAGUGGAGUGGAGUCUAUUAAUCUAUGAAUUAAUUUAUUCAAUUUUCGUCUAUUUUUCAAUUGGAGUCAGUGGACUUAGCAAAUAGUGGAGAUUUUUUCGUCUAUUAAUCUAUGAAUUAAUUUAUUCAAUUUUCGAAAGCAUUUUCUGCAAUGAAGCUCGUCAAAAGUGAUUUGCGAAAUCGUAUGCAAGACGAGUGGAUGAAUGACAGUUUGAUCGUGUACAUUGAAAAGGAUAUUUUCUCAACAAUUGAUAAUGAGAAGAUAUUGCAACAUUUUCAGUCGAUGCGUACACGUCGCAAUCAAUUGUCAUCACUUUCUCAAACAGAAACAACUAGUUCACCAAGUAUUUAUUCUUAGGUUAUUUGUAAUGUAUUGAACUUUUAUAGCUAUGUUAUUUCAAAUGUAUUAGAACUAUAUUAUCUAUGAAAAUAUUGUUUUUUAUUAAUAUUAUUAUUAUAAAAAUGUCUAAAAUGUACUGAAUGUCCCCAAAAAUUUUUUCCGGGGGCUACCGCCCCCGAACCCCCGUUGAAGUUCAGCCCCCCCCCAAAAAAAAUCCUGGGUCCGUCCCUGA